rnacentral:rRNA from 1 species
GACGAACGCUGGCGGCGUGCUUAACACAUGCAAGUCGAACGAAGUGGGAACGGGUGAGUAACACGUGGGUAACCUCCCUCCACUUUGGGAUAACACCGAGAAAUCGGGGCUAAACUGGUAAGGUGGGCUCGCGGCCUAUCAGUUGGUUGGUGGGGUAGGGGCUAACCAGGGCGAUGACGGGUAGCCGGCCUGAGAGGGCGACCGGCCAAACUGGGACUGGGACACGGCCAAGACUCCUAGGGGAGGCAGAAGUAGGGAUUCUUCGGGAAUGGACGACAGUCUGACCGAGCAACGCGGGGUGGGUGACGAGGGUUUUCGGAUCGGAAACUCUGUUGUCAGAGAAGCGGUAUCUAACCAGAAAGCAACGGCUAACUACGUGCCAGCAGCCGCGGUAAUUC